CAAAAAUGCUGUGUUCCAACAUGGCUAGUCCCUUUGUGUACAGCUCAGUCCACAUGUGGAGGACCGUUUUACUCCUCAGCUCGUUGUCCAGGACAUCUUUUCCUCAGCACGGUUCGCAUAAGAGUGAUGAUAAGGAGGAGGAAGAACAGACCUCCUGCUCCCCUGAGGAACCCAGUACUCUGGAGAGAGGCAGAGGAAGAGGAAGAAGUCGGCCUUCAGAAAACAGGAGCUGCAGCAGAUGUUCAACUGGCAUGCAAGUAAUCCUGGACAGGAACUGCCACAAGGCGUAUUACAGCUCCUCUGGUCAAAUUGAAAGCUAAUGUUUGACUGUGCCUGUGAUUGCACUAUUGUAAAUCGUUUUUUGAUGUUCAUGUUGUCUUUUGGAAUUCAGUUUUUUGUAUCUUGAUAAAUAUUAUAAUUAUUUAUUUAUUUGAUCGGGACAGUACACAUUAAUAAACAAUCAUAUACAAAUUGUACGCAAAUUGUAAAUGUGCUAGAUUGUAGCAAAACUGCUACUUUACAUCUAUAGUCCCAAGACAGACACAACACAUACGACAAAACAAAUACAUCAAGCAUAAAUAUAUAAAACCAACACAAAUACAGUCGUAGUUAAAAGUGAGAACACAAUGAUUUAUGUUAAGAAAGAUUUUCAGUUGUUUUUUAAAAAUUAGGUAAGACGGGCAUUCUCUUACAUUUUUUGGAAGACUGUUCCAAAACUGACCUCCUCUCACUGACAGUACCGUUUGUCCAAAUUUUGUUCUUCUGUGUGGGAUCUCAACAUUUCCUCUAGAGGAGGCUCUGGUGCCUAAACCCCUAACUGGUUUAACUUUAAUAUAUUUGAAAGGUGGGGGCAGGGCCAAACCAUAAAGGAUUGUGUAAAUAAGGCAGCAAUUUCUAAAAGUAAAGUUUUGAAAAUGAGCAUUUGGUAUUUCUCAAGAACGUUACAGUGAUGAUGUGACAAAGGCUUUCGAUCUAAGAUUUUGAUGGACUUUUUAUUAAGGGUUUCUAUAGUGUUUCGGUUUGUUUCUCCAGUAAUUGGCCAGGAUGUGAUACAGUAGUCUAUAAGUGAAACUAUCAUUGAAUGUAAAAACAUUUUUGAUUGUUGAUUUUAUUGUCAUGAAUGGCCUGAUUUGUUCGAAGUUCUGUAAAUUAAAGUUGAUUACAUUAGGAGUGAGUUUAACAUGUUUUUGAAAAGAAAGUGUUGGGUCCAAGGGGACCCUGAUAUA